GCAUUGAUGUUUCAAGUGGCAGAAUUCUCACCUUCCAGGUAGGAGACCCGGGUUUGAAUCCCAGCCAAUGCA
rnacentral:tRNA from 1 species